rnacentral:rRNA from 1 species
AGUAGUUGAUCAUGGCUCAGGACGACGCUGGCGGCGUGCUUAACACAUGCAAGUCGAACGGGAGUAUCAAAGAAGCUUGCUUUUAAGAUACUUUAGUGGCGGACGGGUGAGUAACGCGUGAGGAGCUGUCCUAUGCGAGGGGGACAACAGUUGGAAACGGCUGCUAAUACCCCAUAAGCCGAGAAGGUAAAAGGAUUUAUCCGGCAAAGGAGGCACUCGCGUCCUAUCAGCUAGUAGGUUGGGUAACGGCCGACCUAGGCGAAGACGGGUAGCCGGCCUGAGAGGGCGAACGGCCACACUGGAACUGAGAUACGGUCCAGACUCCUACGGGAGGCAGCAGGUGGGGAAUAUUGGGCAAUGGGGGCCAACCCUGACCCAGCGACGCCGCGUGGGUGAAGAAAUCCUUCGGGAUGUAAAGCCCUGUUGUAUGGGAAGAGUAGAAGACGGUACCAUACGAGGAAGCCCCGGCAAACUACGUGCCAGCCGCCGC